rnacentral:tRNA from 3 species
GCAGAAUUAGUUUAGUGAUAAAACACAACCUUGCCAAGGUUGAGUCGUGAGUUUGAUUCUCAUAUUCUGCUCCA